UCGGGUUGUAAAGCACUUUUGUCCGGAAAGAAAACUUCGGCCCUAAUACGGCGGGAGGAUGACGGUACCGGAAGAAUAAGCACCGGCUAAUUACGUGCCAGCAGCGCGGUAAUCGUAGGGUGCGAGCGUUAAUCGGAAUUACUGGGCGUAAAGCGUGCGCAGGCGGUUCGUUAAGACAGAUGUGAAAUCCCCGGGCUUAACCUGGGAACUGCAUUUGUGACUGGCGAGCUAGAGUAUGGCAGAGGGGGGUAGAAUUCCACGUGUAGCAGUGAAAUGCGUAGAGAUGUGGAGGAAUACCGAUGGCGAAGGCAGCCCCCUGGGCCAAUACUGACGCUCAUGCACGAAAGCGUGGGGAGCAAACAGGAUUAGAUACCCUGGUAGUCCACGCCCUAAACGAUGUCAACUAGUUGUUGGGGAUUCAUUUCCUUAGUAACGUAGCUAACGCGUGAAGUUGACCGCCUGGGGAGUACGGUCGCAAGAUUAAAACUCAAAGGAAUUGACGGGGACCCGCACAAGCGGUGGAUGAUGUGGAUUAAUUCGAUGCAACGCGAAAAACCUUACCUACCCUUGACAUGGUCGGAACCCUGCUG
rnacentral:rRNA from 1 species